CCUACGGGUGGCAGCAGUGAGGCAUAUUGGUCAAUGGGCGCGAGCCUGAACCAGCCACGUAGCGUGAAGGCUGACUGCCCUACGGGUUGUAAACUUCUUUUAUAAAGGCAUAAAGUGAGGCACGUGUGCCUUUUUGUAUGUACUUUAUGAAUAAGGAUCGGCUAACUCCGUGCCAUCAGCCGCGGUAAUACGGAUGAUCCGAGCGUUAUCCGGAUUUAUUGGGUUUAAAGGGAGCGUAGAUGGGUUGUUAAGUCAGUUGUGAAAGUUUGCGGAUCAACCGUAAAAUUGCAAUUGAUACUGGCAGCCUUGAGUACAGUUGAGGUAGGCGGAAUUCGUGGUGUAGCGGUGAAAUGCUGAGAUAUCACGAAGAACUCCGAUUGCGAAGGCAGCCUACUAAACUGCCACUGACAUUGAUGCUCGAAAGUGUGGGUAUCAAACAGGAUUAGAUACCCGAGUAGUC
rnacentral:rRNA from 1 species